GUCAAAUCAUCAUGCCCCUUAUGACCUGGGCUACACACGUGCUACAAUGGACAGAACAAAGGGCAGCGAAACCGCGAGGUUAAGCCAAUCCCACAAAUCUGUUCUCAGUUCGGAUCGCAGUCUGCAACUCGACCUCAUGAAGUCGGAGUCGCUAGUAAUCGCAGAUCGGCAACGCUGCGGUGAAUACGUUCCCGGGUCUU
rnacentral:rRNA from 1 species